GACGAACGCUGGCGGCGCGCCUAACACAUGCAAGUCGAACGGAGUUGUGUUGAAAGCUUGCUGGAUAUACAACUUAGUGGCGGACGGGUGAGUAACACGUGAGUAACCUGCCUUUCAGUGGGGGACAACAGUUGGAAACGACUGCUAAUACCGCAUGACGCUUCUUAGGGGCAUCCCUGAGAAGUCAAAGCUUUAUGUGCUGAAAGAUGGCCUCGCGUCUGAUUAGCUAGUUGGUGGGGUAACGGCCCACCAAGGCGACGAUCAGUAGCCGGUCUGAGAGGAUGAACGGCCACAUUGGGACUGAGAUACGGCCCAG
rnacentral:rRNA from 1 species